AGGGUUUGAUUCUGGCUCAGGACGAACGCUGGCGGCGCGCCUAACACAUGCAAGUCGAACGGAGCUUGUUUGUUUGAUUCUUUCGGGAUGACGACUUAUAAGCUUAGUGGCGAACGGGUGAGUAACACGUGAGUAACCUGCCCCAGAGUGGGGGACAACAGUUGGAAACGACUGCUAAUACCGCAUAAGCCCACGGAACCGCAUGGUUCAGAGGGAAAAGGAGCAAUUCGCUUUGGGAUGGACUCGCGUCCGAUUAGCUAGAUGGUGAGGUAACGGCCCACCAUGGCGACGAUCGGUAGCCGGACUGAGAGGUUGAUCGGCCACAUUGGGACUGAGACACGGCCCAG
rnacentral:rRNA from 1 species